AGGAAACAAACCAAACAGAACCAACCAAGAAGGAUGAGCGGCGCAUCCAGGAGAAAGAAAAUGGCGGCCAAGACAAGCAAGGAGAUUGUGUUGAUGUGUGUGAAGAAGGAAGCGUAAGGAAGAAAUGGUGUCUGAAAUGACUUGGGUGAGGCUUGGCUGAGGAUUGAUGGGUUGCUUUACAGGCUGUAAUGUUGUAAUGUGUUGCCAGAAA